UGGUCAAGUUAUUAAGGGUGCAGGGCGGAUGCCUUGGCACUAGGAGCCGAUGAAGGACGUGAUAAGCUGCGAUAAGCUUCGGGGAGUUGCACGUAAACUUUGAUCCGAAGAUUUCCGAAUGAGGAAACUCACUUAGAGUAAUGUCUAAGUAUCAUUAAGUGAAUACAUAGCUUAAUGAGGGGAACUCAGGGAACUGAAACAUCUAAGUACCUGAAGGAAGAGAAAGAAAUUCGAUUCCGUAAGUAGCGGCGAGCGAACGCGGAUUAGCCCAAACCAAUAAAGUUUUCUUUAUUGGGGUUGCGGACAUAUCAUAACGAAGAGGUAUCGUAAUUGAAGAGGUUUGGAAAGACCCACCACAGAAGGUAAUAGUCCUGUAUGUUAAACGAGAAGACUUUAGAUAUGAUCCAGAGUACCACGGGACACGUGAA
rnacentral:rRNA from 1 species